rnacentral:misc_RNA from 1 species
GGUCCAAUCUUAGUUUCAUAAACCUGCAAAGCCUCACGAUGAUGAGCCACAAAUAUAAGGCACAACAACAAAAUACGUGCGUGAAUGUGCAUGUGGGAGCAUGAGUCAUGACUAAAAGUUGAUUUAGCAAACAUCCAAAAACAUUCUUUCUCGUUAUCUAUAUCUAUAUGUAUAUAUAUUUAAUAAUCUAGAUAUAGCGUCACAAUUUUCCCAUCAUCAAUUUGAUGAUUUAAUUCAAUUGAUUUAAAAUUAUUUAUAUAUUAAUUUAACAAGCCAAUUAAUGAAAAUUUUAAUUAAAUUAGUUCAAUAAAUUCCUUCAUAAAUACACUCAUUA